AGUGUUUCAAGUGGAAACCUUCUCCUUCAAGGCUUCAACCAAAAUCGUUUGCCUCCCCAUUUCAAAAAUUGUCCAAUCAAACCCCUUUUAUUACAUCAAUUAUUUUAGCCAAGCCUGGCCAUUGUUGUUACCUUCUGUGUCUUCAACCCUUGGUUUUUUUUUUAGCUGUAGUAUACUUUAAACUUCACAGCCCAAUUUUAUAUUUGUCUGUUCAUCUUUCCUUUUCUUUUUUACUUUGUUCGUCUGUUCUCAUUGCUCUUCUCAGCCAUGGCAUUAUCUUGGAGAUCAUGAUGCCAAUUAAGGCAGUUAUUGGUUCUCUGUCCGGCAAAGAAUGUUGCUGUUUCGUUUUGUUCUUUCCAUCGUAAGCCAAAUGUUCAAAUCAAAAAUAUAAUUAAAAGUGUUAUGGUUGUCUAUAAUGUCAUGGGGGGUAGAUCUACAACACAACCAAAGAACCUAGAUUGGAUUUAUCCCAUGAGUAAUCAACAAUAAGGAGGUCACGAAUGUGGAUAUUAUGUGAUGAAUUGGAUGUUAGACAUAAUUGAAGGGGAAGUAACAAAUAAUUGGAUUGAGCUUUUUGAUGAUGUUGCACCAUUGCCGGAAAUCAAAUUGGAAGAUAUUUGGAGUCAAUGGGCAACCUUCUUUUUAGAAAAAUUUAGAAAUAGAGCAUGAUUUUUAGUUUAAUUAGGAUUGUUUAUAAUAUAACUCCAAAACAAUUUUCUGCCUUUAUUUUUUAGUUUAUUUUCUUAUCCGAAAAUAAAAUAAACUAAGUACUUAAAGCUUAGUUAUCAUGUUUUGGUCAAGAGGAUCUAUUUCUAAUUUGAUUGGGAUGCUGUUAGAGAAUGAGGAGGGGUCGGAUGUUACUUUCCCUGUAGGUGGAGAAAGGUUUCAUGUGCAUAAGCUUGUUUUGGCUGCCCGGUCAACUGCAUUUGAAACCGAGUUUUUUAAUGGGAUGGAGGAAGAUGAUCGUGACAUAGUUGUUAGUGAUAUGGAACCUAAGGUUUUCAAGGCUUUGCUUCAUUUUAUUUAUAGACUUUCUUAUUGAUGAUGAAGAGCUCUUUACGUCAUGAUCAUCUUUGUCAUUCUUGCCUUCGGUGUCUGAAUCAUUUGCAGCGAAGUUGUUAGCUGUUGCAGAAAAGUAUGGUUUGCCAAGACUUAAACUGAUGUGCGAGUGUGUACUUUGCAAAGACAUAUCUAUAGAUUAUGUUGCCUAUAUUCUGGCUCUUGCUGAUCAUUAUCAAGCUAUAGAAUUGAAGUCUA